CCAAACGGCCUCCGCCGCGGCUCGCAGCGCCUCCCGGUUUGGAAGCCGGGACUCGGGCCCAGGAGCCGGCGGCGCCCUCCACCCGCGUCCCCCGCUCGGCCCGUCUGCGCCCGGCUUCCGUAGGCCCCGCUCGGACCGGGACACCCCCCCGCCCCGCGCGCGCCUCAGCUGGGCCCUGGGCCCCUCCUCGGCUGCCUGUGGCCCCCGCCCGCGCCCCCCGGCCCCGCCAUGUCGCUGCACGGGAAGCGGAAGGAGAUCUACAAGUACGAGGCGCCCUGGACCGUGUACGCCAUGAACUGGAGCGUCCGGCCCGACAAGCGCUUCCGCCUGGCGCUCGGCAGCUUCGUGGAGGAGUACAACAACAAGGUCCAGCUUGUUGGUUUAGAUGAGGAGAGCUCGGAGUUCAUUUGCAGGAACACCUUUGAUCACCCAUAUCCUACUACAAAGCUCAUGUGGAUUCCUGACACCAAGGGAGUAUAUCCAGACCUAUUGGCAACCAGCGGUGAUUACCUGCGUGUGUGGAGAGUGGGUGAAACUGAGACCCGACUGGAGUGCUUGCUGAACAAUAAUAAGAACUCUGAUUUUUGUGCCCCGUUAACGUCGUUUGAUUGGAAUGAAGUGGAUCCUUAUCUUCUCGGUACCUCUAGUAUUGACACAACCUGUACUAUCUGGGGUCUGGAGACUGGGCAGGUAUUGGGAAGAGUAAAUCUGGUAUCGGGCCAUGUCAAGACCCAGCUUAUUGCACAUGACAAAGAGGUAUAUGACAUUGCAUUUAGCCGCGCGGGUGGCGGGAGAGACAUGUUUGCAUCAGUUGGUGCAGAUGGCUCGGUGCGGAUGUUUGACCUUCGUCAUCUGGAGCACAGCACCAUUAUCUAUGAGGAUCCACAGCACCAUCCGUUGCUGCGUCUGUGCUGGAACAAGCAGGAUCCCAACUAUCUUGCAACAAUGGCCAUGGAUGGUAUGGAGGUGGUGAUUCUCGAUGUCAGAGUUCCCUGCACACCCGUUGCCAGGUUAAACAACCACAGAGCAUGUGUGAAUGGCAUUGCCUGGGCACCUCACUCUUCCUGCCAUAUCUGUACAGCAGCGGAUGACCAUCAGGCUCUCAUCUGGGAUAUCCAGCAAAUGCCUCGUGCCAUUGAGGACCCAAUCUUGGCCUACACAGCAGAAGGGGAAAUCAACAAUGUACAGUGGGCAUCGACUCAGCCGGACUGGAUAGCUAUCUGCUACAACAACUGUCUGGAGAUCUUGAGAGUGUAACACUAUUGGUCUGUGCCAAACUGAGGCAGGGCUUUAUAACUUCCCCUCCCCUCUAAAGUUCACUGAUGUGCGGAGAAAGGGGUUAUUGGUUUAUAUUUUCCAUGGGCUUCUGAGGCUAAUAAAAUUCAAUGAUCAUCUUUGUUCUCAUGUAUCAGAACUUUACCAACUCAAAGUUAAGUUUGCUAGUAACACGUUACAAAAACUACAUACAAACAGGUCAGUUCAUAGAGCUCCAUUUGAAAAGCUCUUAACUGAUCCGUUAAAGUAACAUACAUAAAGGUUUAUUACUUUUCAGGUAAUUAUUCUUCAAAUAAAUUUUUAAAAACCCCAAAACGCGAACACUUAU